AGUUGGUCAGGCAGUCGCCGCUAGGUGUGAUUUCGGUCGCACAUAGGGGAGGAAAGUCCGGGCUCCAUAGGGUAGAACGCCAGGUAACUCCUGGGGGGCGAAAGCCUACGGAAAGUGCAGCAGAGAGCAAACCGCCGAUGGCCCUUUAGCAAUAGAGGUGCACAGGUAAGGGUGAAAGGGUGCGGUAAGAGCGCACCGCGCAACUGGUAACAGCUUGUGGCAUGGUAAACCCCGUUCGGAGCAAGACCAAAUAGGCCUUCUAAGGUGCGACCCGCACUGAAGGCGGGUAGGUUGCUCGAAGCUUGUGGUGACGCAAGCUCUAGAUGAAUGACUGUCCACGACAGAACCCGGCUUACCGACCAACUUCU
rnacentral:RNase_P_RNA from 1 species